CCUACGGGAGGCAGCAGUGAGGAAUAUUGGUCAAUGGGCGCGAGCCUGAACCAGCCAAGUAGCGUGAGGGAUGACUGCCCUACGGGUUGUAAACUUCUUUUAUAAGGGAAUAAAGUGAGGCACGUGUGCCUUUUUGUAUGUACUUUGUGAAUAAGGAUCGGCUAACUCCGUGACAGCAGGCGCGGUAAUAAGGGGGAUCCGAACGUUAUCCGGGUUUCAUGGGGUUAAAGGGGGCGUAGGUGGGUUGGUAAGGCCAGUGGGAAAGUUUGCGUGCUAAACGUAAAAUUGCCGUUGAUACUGGCAGUCUUGAGUAAAGUUGAGGUAGGCGGAAUUCGUGGUGUAGCGGUGAAAUGCUUAGAUAUCACGCAGAACUCCGAUUGCGAAGGCAGCUUACUAACCUGCCACUGACAUUGAUGCUCGAAAGUGUGGGUAUCAAACAGGUUUAGAUACCCCUGUAGUC
rnacentral:rRNA from 1 species